UACGUAGGGGCCUAGCGUUGUCCGGAUUUAUUGGGCGUAAAGAGCUCGUAGGCGGUUCGGUAAGUCAGGUGUGAAAUCUCCACGCUCAACGUGGAGGCGCCACCUGAAACUGCCGUGACUCGAGUCCGGUAGGGGAGUGUGGAAUUCCCGGUGUAGCGGUGAAAUUCGUAGAUAUUGGGUGGAACACCGGUGGCGAAAGCGGCCCCCUGGCCCGGUCCUGACGCUGAGGCGCGAAAGCGUGGGGAGCAAACAGG
rnacentral:rRNA from 1 species